rnacentral:rRNA from 1 species
AACGAACGCUGGCGGCAGGCUUAACACAUGCAAGUCGAGCGCCCCGCAAGGGGAGCGGCAGACGGGUGAGUAACGCGUGGGAAUCUACCCUUUCCUACGGAAUAGCUCCGGGAAACUGGAAUUAAUACCGUAUACGCCCUUAGGGGGAAAGAUUUAUCGGGGAAGGAUGAGCCCGCGUUGGAUUAGCUAGUUGGUGGGGUAAAGGCCUACCAAGGCGACGAUCCAUAGCUGGUCUGAGAGGAUGGUCAGCCACAUUGGGACUGAGACACGGCCCAAACUCCUACGGGAGGCAGCAGUGGGGAAUAUUGGACAAUGGGCGCAAGCCUGAUCCAGCCAUGCCGCGUGAGUGAUGAAGGCCUUAGGGUUGUAAAGCUCUUUCACCGGAGAAGAUAAUGACGGUAUCCGGAGAAGAAGCCCCGGCUAACUUCGUGCCAGCAGCCGCCGUAA